rnacentral:rRNA from 1 species
UACGUAGGUGGCAAGCGUUGUCCGGAAUUAUUGGGCGUAAAGCGCGCGCAGGCGGUCAAUUAAGUCUGAUGUGAAAGCCCCCGGCUCAACCGGGGAGGGUCAUUGGAAACUGAUUGACUUGAGUACUGGAGAGAAGAGUGGAAUUCCACGUGUAGCGGUGAAAUGCGUAGAGAUGUGGAGGAACACCAGUGGCGAAGGCGACUCUUUGGCCAGAAACUGACGCUGAGGCGCGAAAGCGUGGGGAGCAAACAGG